rnacentral:rRNA from 1 species
GAUGAACGCUGGCGGCGUGCCUAAUACAUGCAAGUCGAGCGAACAGACGAGGAGCUUGCUCCUUUGACGUUAGCGGCGGACGGGUGAGUAACACGUGGGUAACCUACCUAUAAGACUGGGAUAACUUCGGGAAACCGGAGCUAAUACCGGAUAAUAUUUCGAACCGCAUGGUUCGAUAGUGAAAGAUGGCUUUGCUAUCACUUAUAGAUGGACCUGCGCCGUAUUAGCUAGUUGGUAAGGUAACGGCUUACCAAGGCAACGAUACGUAGCCGACCUGAGAGGGUGAUCGGCCACACUGGAACGGAGACACGGUCCAGACUCCUACGGGAGGCAGCAGUAGGGAAUCUUCCGCAAUGGGCGAAAGCCUGACGGAGCAACGCCGCGUGAGUGAUGAAGGUCUUCGGAUCGUAAAACUCUGUUAUUAGGGAAGAACAAACGUGUAAGUAACUGUGCACGUCUUGACGGUACCUAAUCAGAAAGCCACGGCUAACUACGUG